rnacentral:rRNA from 1 species
GACGAACGCUGGCGGCGUGCUUAACACAUGCAAGUCGAACGAGGCACUUGUGCCUAGUGGCGAACGGGUGAGUAACACGUGAGCAACCUGCCCCUGGCUCUGGGAUAGCCUCCGGAAACGGGGAUUAAUACCGGACAUGACCUGCUGCGGCAUCGCGGCGGGUGGAAAGUUUUUCGGCCGGGGAGGGGCUCGCGGCCUAUCAGCUUGUUGGGGGGGUAACGGCCCACCAAGGCGACGACGGGUAGCCGGCCUGAGAGGGCGACCGGCCACACAGGGACUGAGACACGGCCCAGACUCCUGCGGGAGGCAGCAGUGGGGAAUAUUGCACAAUGGGGGAAACCCUGAUGCAGCGACGCCGCGUGCGGGAUGAAGGCCUUCGGGUUGUAAACCGCUUUCACCACAGACGAAGCGCGAGUGACGGUAUGUGGGGAAGAAGCGCCGGCUAACUACGUGCCAGCAGCCGCCGUAACAC